AUGAGAUAUGACCUGAACUGAAGUCGGACACCUAACUGACUGAGCCACGCAGAUAAAUCUGUUAUUAGCCGAAACCCCUGGAACGUGAGUUAAACCUAGGAACGAAUCCCAACGUGGUCUCUGAGCCCAAUGCAGCGGGGUGGAAGCAUUCCUGAAGGGUCACACGGUCACCUCCCUGUUUAAUAUUCAGAAAUCCCACCCGGCUUGCCGAGACAGCGGGAGAUCGGGGAGGGGUGGACAGUCGCCAUCAGAAAGCUGGAAGGCCCUCGGGGAGACAGAAGCUAUUUGAAAACAGCUAGGCGGUCUUUCAACCGGGGAACUCGAGCUUGUAAAGCUAAACGCUGUGUCGUCACGUCACCAAGGUCGGGGUGGGCUGACAAAGCCAGCUGUGGCUGAAUUCAUCAGUGCAUGCUGUCACGGGCCCAGAUUUUCCCCUUCAGACACACCACAGGCGCUGGCCUGCUCAGGCCCACGCAGCUCGGAGGCCGCAUGGACCCUGGAUCACACCGUCUGAUCCUUUGUUUUAUAAACAGGAAACCAAGGCCGAGAGAGAAGCAGUCACACGGCAAUUCAGAAAUGGGGCGAGGCCUCAAACCCAGGUCUGACUCACAGCCUGGGGCCCACGGCCUGUGCGGCAGUCAGGGCCUCGGGCCCAGACUCCCAGCAACCUGUGAGGAGAAGAGAGUCCCAGCUCCUGGGGCCCCGGAGACUCUGGGAGGACAGCUUCACCGAAGCGGAUGUGCCAGAGGGGGUGGAAAUACUGCCCCGGGGCUUGGGAGAGGGCCUGCGGGAUCUGAGACAUGGGGCCCGAUGCGGAUCAAAGCCGAAGGGGAUGAGAGGACCUCUGGGUACCAGGAUCCUCUAGGCCCCCAGCCCCUGCAGUGGUCAUGAUGGGCUGGCGGUAUAGCCAUUGACCUUGGGCAAGGUACCUAACCCCUGUUACCUCCUCUAUGAGAUGGGGGAGCAGGCGUACCCACACGCUUUAGAAUCGUCAUUCAACUUUAGUGAAGUAUAAUUUGUAUACAACAAAACUCAUUUUUUUUUCCUUUUAUUCCGCUUUAUUGAGGUAUAAGUGACAAAAUUCUAAGAUAAUUAAAAGUUAAUUGGAUCUGGGUAUA